GCAGGGUGGCCACCCAGUUAUCAGCACAAGUUAGAAUGUGGUCAACUAGGCAGUCGUUGCGCAGGCACUUUGGUGACUCUAGAUAACUUCGGGCUGAUCUCACGUCCCUGUGACGGCAACGACGCAUUCGGAUGUUUGCCCUAUCAACUUUCGAUAGUACUUUCUGCGUCUACCAUGGUGUCCACGGAUAACUGUGAAUCAGGGUUCGAUUCUGGAGAGGGAGCCUGAGAAAUGGCUACAACAUCCAAGGAAGGUAGCAGGCGCGCAAAUUACCCACUCCCGACACGGGGAGGUAGUGAC